rnacentral:rRNA from 1 species
AUGUGCUCGUCUUUGCAAAGGGAGUCAGGCGCCGCCAAGGUCUUCAGCGCCAGUAUCGCUACAGCGACGGCACCGACACCAUGCUGGCAUCUACACGAGCAAUCACCUCAGCAAAUUACUCGCUGCCCCUCACCACCGACACAUAUCAAGUCAGGAGGAAGCACCAAGGUUCUUGUCACACUAGGGGUCGCCGGAGAGGAUCCCAUGCCCUUCCUUGCAACCUUUCGUUGA